rnacentral:rRNA from 1 species
CUGUCUUAUUUAUAAAAAUUGAAUUUAACUUUUAAGUGAAAAGGCUUAAAUAAUAGAAAGGGACGAUAAGACCCUAUAAAACUUUAUAUAAAAUGAAUUUUUUAUUAUAUUUAUUUGUUUAGUAAGAAAUAAUUUAUUAAUAUUUUAUUGGGGCGAUAGGAAUAUAAGUAAGUAACUGUUCUUUUUUAAAACAAAUAUAAUUGGUUAAUAAGAUCCUUGUUUAGAGAUUAGAAGGUAAAGUUACUUUAGGGAUAACAGCGUAAUUUUUUUUAAGAGUUCAUAUCGACAAAAAAGAUUGCGACCUCGAUGUUGAAUUAAAAUUUCUUUAUGGUGCAGGAGUUAUAAAAGAAAGUCUGUUCGACUUUUAAAAUUUUA